AAUAAAAAAAUCUUUGAUUGGGGCAAUCACGAAGAAAAAGAAACCUUCGUUCUUUAUAAAAAUAAACAAAUUUAAAAUUAAAUAAAUUUGAUCCAGUAAACCUGACUAUAGAAAAAAGUUACCGCAGGGAUAACAGCGUUAUUUUCUUUAAGAGUUCUUAUUGACAAGAAAGUUUGCGACCUCGAUGUUGGACCGGGGUACCCCAGAGGUGCAAAAGCCUCUAAAGGUAGGUCUGUUCGACCUUUAAAACCCUACGCGAUCUGAGUUCAGACCGACGCAAGUCAGGUCAGUUUCUAUCUA
rnacentral:rRNA from 1 species